rnacentral:rRNA from 1 species
CGAACGGGUGAGUAACACGUGGGCAACCUGCCCAAAAGAGGGGGAGUAACACUUGGAAACAGGUGCUAAUACCGCAUAACCAUAGUUACCGCAUGGUAGCUAUGUAAAAGGUGGCUAUGCUACCGCUUUUGGAUGGGCCCGCGGCGCAUUAGCUAGUUGGUGGGGUAAAGGCUUACCAAGGCAAUGAUGCGUAGCCGAACUGAGAGGUUGAUCGGCCACAUUGGGACUGAGACACGGCCCAAACUCCUACGGAAGGCAGCAG